rnacentral:rRNA from 1 species
GGGGAAUAUUGCGCAAUGGGCGAAAGCCUGACGCAGCCAUACCGCGUGUGUGAAGAAGGCCUUCGGGUUGUAAAGCACUUUCAGUGGGGAGGAAAAGCGGGUGGCUAAUAUCCAUCGGCCGUGACGCUACCCACAGAAGAAGCACCGGCUAAUUCCGUGCCAGCAGCCGCGGUAAUACGGAAGGUGCGAGCGUUAAUCGGAAUUACUGGGCGUAAAGCGCACGUAGGUGGCUUGGUAAGUCGGAUGUGAAAGCCCCGGGCUCAACCUGGGAACGGCAUUCGAUACUGCUGAGCUAGAGUACGAAAGAGGGGGGUGGAAUUCCAGGUGUAGCGGUGAAAUGCGUAGAGAUCUGGAGGAACACCGGUGGCGAAGGCGGCCCCCUGGUUCGAUACUGACGCUGAGGUGCGAAAGCGUGGGGAGCAAAC